rnacentral:rRNA from 1 species
GACGAACGCUGGCGGCGUGCUUAACACAUGCAAGUCGAACGGAAAGGCCCUGCUUUUGUGGGGUGCUCGAGUUGCGAACGGGUGAGUAACACGUGAGUAACCUGCCCUUGACUUUGGGAUAACUUCAUGAAACUGGGGCUAAUACCGGAUAGGAGCUCCUGCUGCAUGGUGGGGGUUGGAAAGUUUCGGCGGUUGGGGAUGGACUCGCGGCUUAUCAGCUUGUUGGUGGGGUAGUGGCUUACCAAGGCUUUGAACGGUAGCCGGCCUGAGCGGGUGACCGGACAAAUUGGGACUGAGAUACGGCACAGACUCCUACGGGAGGCAGCAGUGGGGAAUAGUGCACAAUGGGCGGAAGCAUGAUGCAGCAACGCCGCGUGCGGGAUGACGGCCUUCGGGUUGUAAACCGAUUUCGCCUGUGACGAAGCGUGAGUGACGGUAAUGGGUAAAGAAGCACCGGCUAACUACGUG